UACGGAGGGUGCGAGCGUUGUCCGGAAUCACUGGGCGUAAAGGGCGCGUAGGUGGCUUGGCAAGCGUGCGGUGAAAGCCCGGGGCUCAACUCCGGAAUUGCCUUUAAGACUGCAUCGCUAGAAUUGUGGAGAGGUAAGUGGAAUUCCGAGUGUAGAGGUGAAAUUCGUAGAUAUUCGGAAGAACACCAGUGGCGAAGGCGACUUACUGGACACAUAUUGACGCUGAGGUGCGAAAGCGUGGGGAGCAAACAGG
rnacentral:rRNA from 1 species